GCUAACUAUUUAAGGGGGUGUGCCGGGGGUUUUGUUUCAUUCAGAUCUCUCACUCUUAUCUCUUCUUUCUUAUAUACUCUUCCUAUUGUCCAAUUAAUCUCUUUCUUCUUUUGUUAGGAUAAGUUCAAAAAUAGUAAGGAUAAGUCCGAUUUUAGGACAAGAGCCUAGGAAGAGAAUUAAGAAAGACAAGACAAAAAGAAAGAUAGGGAUAGGAAGGCUAGGAGGAGAGGAAGAAGGUCUUGAGGUCUUGGUGCCUA
rnacentral:lncRNA from 1 species